CCUUUUAAUUGCAUGUACUGCUGGCUGCAGCAAAUGAUGGGUGUUUGGUUGGGGACGGAUUAAAGAGAUGUGUAAACAUAUUUUUUUUCAUUCAGGCACUGGUGUUUUUUUCCUUGACAACCCAUUAGGACAACGUAGAAAGAACUCAUGGAAGGAGGACACCCUUAGCACUAGAAGGAACUCAUGGAAUGAGGACACCCUUAGCACUCAUCUUCAGAGCUGGGCAGAGAGAAUCUCUGUGUCACCCUCCUUCCCUCACCUCCAUGAUUUCUGCACAGUAACUCCCAAGACCUUCUGGGACAGCAUCACUGAAG
rnacentral:lncRNA from 12 species